CUGUGCUAGGCGGGGGGGUACCGGUCCCCUCGACCUCCAAAUCCGGUUAUGGGAGGGCCGAACGGCUCUCAUGAGGCUCGCCAGGCUGCUGAAGACAUAUUGCUAUGGCGUUGACAGCCGAUAGCCUUGGCAUAGUUCCGGCUCUGAACCUGGUCAGGCCCGAAAGGGAGCAGCCAUAAGGAGUUACGGGCUAGUGUGAAGUGUCUGUCGGCCGAGUCCUCUGGCAAUAUGCUCUGCUGAUGGCCGGAGUCGAAGAGAGCCUCGCACAG
rnacentral:SRP_RNA from 1 species